rnacentral:lncRNA from 1 species
UUGUAAAGGCCAUGGCAGAUUAGGGUUUCAUGAUGCCAUCGUCUAUCCAAAAAAGCAUGAAAUACGUUUUAUUUGUUGGAAAGGAACGAAAAUAAUGACACUACGUGAGUAUGUAUCAUGGGCUCCAUUUUUUUUUUUUUUGCUUUGACUGACAUAAUUAGAUUCUCGAUCGUAUGGCAAUUGAUUUACACAUUUUUUCUUCUUCUAUAAAGCUACAAAAGUAACUGACCCCAUUGCUUAGAUUUAUACAAGUCAGAUCUCAAUUGCCCAAAAAGCUUACUGAUCAGUUUUGU